rnacentral:rRNA from 1 species
GACGAACGCUGGCGGCGUGCUUAACACAUGCAAGUCGAACGCUGAAGCUCAGCUUUUGUUGGGUGGAUGAGUGGCGAACGGGUGAGUAACACGUGAGUAACCUGCCCCCUUCUUUGGGAUAACGCCCGGAAACGGGUGCUAAUACUGGAUAUUCACUGGUCUUCGCAUGGGGGCUGGUGGAAAGGGUUUUUCUGGUGGGGGUUGGGCUCGCGGCCUAUCAGCUUGUUGGUGGGGUGAUGGCCUACCAAGGCUUUGACGGGUAGCCGGCCUGAGAGGGUGACCGGUCACAUUGGGACUGAGAUGCGGCCCAGACUCGUACGGGAGGCGGAAGUGGGGAAUAAUGCACAAUGGGCGCAAGCCUGAUGCAGCGACGCCGCGUGAGGGAUGGAGGCCUUCGGGUUGUGAACCUCUUUCGCUCAUGGUCAAGCCGCAACAAUGGUUGUGGUGAGGGUAGUGGGUAAAGAAGCGCCGGCUAACUACGUG